rnacentral:rRNA from 1 species
CCUACGGGAGGCAGCAGUGAGGAAUAUUGGUCAAUGGACGCAAGUCUGAACCAGCCAUGCCGCGUGCAGGAAGACGGCUCUAUGGGUUGUAAACUGCUUUUGUACGAGGGUAAACGCAGAUACGCGUAUCUGUCUGAAAGUAUCGUACGAAUAAGCAUCGGCUAACUCCGUGCCAGCAGCCGCGGUAAUACGGAGGAUUCAAGCGUUAUCCGGAUUUAUUGGGUUUAAAGGGUGCGUAGGCGGUCGGAUAAGUUAGAGGUGAAAUCCCAGGGCUCAACUUCGGAAUUGCCUCUGAUACUGGUCGGCUAGAGAGUAGUAGAGGUAGGCGGAAUGUAUGGUGUAGCGGUGAAAUGCUUAGAGAUCAUACAGAACACCGAUUGCGAAGGCAGCAUACCAGGCUACAUCUGACGUUGAGGCACGAAAGCGUGGGGAGCAAACAGGAUUAGAUACCCCAGUAGUC